rnacentral:rRNA from 1 species
CAGUCGCCGCGGUAAUACAGAGGGUGCAAGCGUUAAUCGGAAUUACUGGGCGUAAAGCGCACGCAGGCGGUCUGACAAGUCAGAUGUGAAAUCCCCGGGCUUAACCUGGGAACUGCAUUUGAAACUGUCAGGCUGGAGUCUUGUAGAGGGGGGUAGAAUUCCAGGUGUAGCGGUGAAAUGCGUAGAGAUCUGGAGGAAUACCGGUGGCGAAGGCGGCCCCCUGGACAAAGACUGACGCUCAGGUGCGAAAGCGUGGGGAGCAAACAGGAUUAGAUACCCCAGUAGUCCCUGUCUCUUAUAC